rnacentral:rRNA from 1 species
UACGAAGGGGGCGAGCGUUGUUCGGAUUUACUGGGCGUAAAGGGCGCGUAGGCGGCCCUCUUUGUCGCGUGUGAAAGCCCCGGGCUCAACCUGGGAAUGGCGCGCGAAACGGGGGGGCUUGAGUUCGGGAGAGGAGCGUGGAAUUCCCAGUGUAGAGGUGAAAUUCGUAGAUAUUGGGAAGAACACCGGUGGCGAAGGCGGCGACCUGGGUAGAUACUGACGCUGAGGUGCGAAAGCGUGGGGAGCAAACAGG